rnacentral:tRNA from 1 species
UUUAAUAUGGCAGAAUAGUGCAUUGAA